UACGUAGGGAGCAAGCGUUGUCCGGAAUCAUUGGGCGUAAAGCGCGCGUAGGUGGCCUCAUAAGUCCGCUGUGAAAGUCAAAGGCUCAACCUUUGAAAGCCGGUGGAUACUGUGAGGCUAGAGUACGGAAGAGGCGAGUGGAAUUCCUGGUGUAGCGGUGAAAUGCGUAGAGAUCGGCAGGAACACCCAGGGGGAAACCAGUCGACUGGGCAUCUACUGACGCUGAGGUGCGAGAGCGUGGGGAGCGAACCGG
rnacentral:rRNA from 1 species